AUUGAACGCUGGCGGCAGGCCUAACACAUGCAAGUCGAACGCGUGGCGGACGGGUGAGUAAUGUCUGGGAACCUGCCCGAUGGAGGGGGAUAACUACUGGAAACGGUCGCUAAUACCGCAUACCAUCGGAUGUCCCCAGAUGGGAUUAGCUACUAGGGGGGUUAAAGGCUCACCUAGGCGACGAUCCCUAGCUGGUCUGAGAGGAUGACAAGCCAAACUGGAACUGAGACACGGUCCAGACUCCUACGGGAGGCAGCAGUGGGGAAUAUUGCACAAUGGGCGCAAGCCUGAUGCAGCCAUGCCGCGUGUAUGAAGAAGGCCUUCGGGUUGUAAAGUACUUUCAGCGGGGAGGCGUUACCCGAAGAAGAAGCACCGGCUAACUCCGUGCCAGCAGCCGCGGUAAUAC
rnacentral:rRNA from 1 species